AUUGAACGCUGGCGGCAUGCCUAACACAUGCAAGUCGAACGAGUGGCGGACGGGUUAGUAAUGUCUGGGAACCUGCCUGAUGGAUGGGUAUAACUACUGGAAACGGUAGCUAAUACCGCAUACCAUCAGAUGUGCCCAGAUGGGAUUAGCUAGUUGGUGGGGUAACGGCUCACCAAGGCGACGAUCCCUAUCUGGUCUGAGAGGAUGACCAGCAACACUGGAACUGAGACACGGUCCAGACUCCGACGGGAGGCAGCAGUGGGGAAUAUGGCACAAUGGGGGCAAGCCUGAUGCAGCCAUGCCGCGUGUAUGAAGAAGGCCUUCGGGUUGUAAAGUACUUUCAGCGGGGAGGCGUUACCCGCAGAAGAAGCACCGGCUAACUCCGUGCCAGCAGCCGCGGUAAUAC
rnacentral:rRNA from 1 species